ACAACGACUCUCGGCAACGGAUAUCUCGGCUCUCGCAUCGAUGAAGAACGUAGCGAAAUGCGAUACUUGGUGUGAAUUGCAGAAUCCCGUGAACCAUCGAGUCUUUGAACGCAAGUUGCGCCCGAUGCCUUCGGGCUGAGGGCACGUCUGUUUGGGCGUCACGC
rnacentral:rRNA from 1 species